AGGGAAGGGGUGAAGGGAAGCUAAGAGGGAAGAGUGACUUCAUUGGUAUUUCUUCUAACCUGCUCCCAAUAAGGCCUGACUGGCCAAAGGGUUGGAAGAGGAAUGAAGAGAUGGAUGGAAAGGGGAAAAGCUUCUGAAGCUCUUCACCAGAGGCCAUGGGAUACCAAGGCAAAAAAAAUCACUAUUUCCCAGGGAAAUCUUGUGCUAUCAUUCCUAGUGGUACUGUAUGCUGAACCAGACCUUCUGUUCUGGCCUAAAUACUCUCAGCGGAGUCCACAAGAUGCAAUUGGAUGACCAUUUGUCAUGUACAUCAUAGCUGGGAUUCCUCUCCUGUAUGCGUUGGACUAGAUGGCCUCUGGGGUCACUUCUGACUCCCAAAUUCUGUACUUUUGUGAUUUUGCUUGGAGACCUCCUCAGGAAUGGUAAGGAUGACCAGAAUUCCUACUGGGUUGAGUGCUUCUCUGAAUGAGUUGCUUUCAACAUUCUGAUUUUAGUCAGACUAGAUUCUGGGAGGGGAAUGAUCCAUAAAGUAAUCUUUCUGUAACAUUUGAUCACUGACAAGACCCUUUGAUUUGGAGAUUUAUUUAUUCAUUCCCUUAACAAACAUUAACUAUUCACUCUGCUCUUGAUACUAUGCUAGACAGGGCUGACUUAAAGGCAAAAAUGAAAUGGUUGUUGCCCUCAGAGAGCUUACAUUCUAAUGAAGGAGCCAACCUAUAAAUAAUUAGAGUUAGACACAAGUUAAACAAAAUAGAAGGAAACUAAUCUGAGAGGGGAAGACAUUAGUAACUGUGGGAGGGGACAGGGAAAGGUCUCCUGCAGAAGGCAGGAUUUGAGCAGGGUCUUGAAGGAAGCCAGGGAAGCUGAGAGGCAGAGGGGAGG
rnacentral:lncRNA from 1 species